rnacentral:pre_miRNA from 12 species
GCCAAAGUCAGGGAAAGGAUUCUGCUGUCGGUCCCACUCCACGACUCGCAGACGGGUGGUGGGCACAGAAUCCAGACUCUGCUUAUGGC